AGGAAGAAAAGGUUGCUUCAAAGAAUACCCAAAUUUUAAUAAAACAUAAUCAGACUUGGAUUGUUACAUCCAGACUUGGACAAAACGUUUGGGAGCAGCUUCCAGGAGGGCUAAUGCAAUGGGCCAGACAGAAAGAAGACUGAUCAUUGACAUCUUACUAAUGAUGCAGAGACUACUAAUUUCUGUGAUGACUAAAGCUGCAUCAUUGUCUGACAUUUGUCUUGAGACUGGAAGGAAUAUCAACAUUUUGGAGUGGCUCAGCCAGAGUCCUGACUUGAAUCUAAUCAAAACACUUUGUAUAAAACUAAACAUUAGGCUGAUGGCCAGAAGACCUUCCAUCGUCCAAGACUUGGAGCUCAUUAUCAAAUAUAAAUAAUCAAAAUACCAGUGGAAACAUGCAAACACUGCUGUAAUGUCAAUAAAUAUUUUUUU